rnacentral:tRNA from 1 species
UCCCUGAUGGCUCAGUAGUAAAGAAUCUGCCUGCCAAAGCAGGAGACAGAGGUUCGAUUCCUGAUCCGGGAA